GCGCUCGUGGCGGAAUUGGUAUACGCGUAUGGUCCAGACCCAUAUGCCCGCAUGGGCGUGAGAGUUCGAAUCUCUCCGAGCGCA
rnacentral:tRNA from 1 species